AGUGAACGCUGGCGGUAGGCCUAACACAUGCAAGUCGAACGGCAGCACAGUAAGAGCUUGCUCUUACGGGUGGCGAGUGGCGGACGGGUGAGGAAUACAUCGGAAUCUACUUUUUCGUGGGGGAUAACGUAGGGAAACUUACGCUAAUACCGCAUACGACCUACGGGUGAAAGCAGGGGAUCUUCGGACCUUGCGCGAUUGAAUGAGCCGAUGUCGGAUUAGCUAGUUGGCGGGGUAAAGGCCCACCAAGGCGACGAUCCGUAGCUGGUCUGAGAGGAUGAUCAGCCACACUGGAACUGAGACACGGUCCAGACUCCUACGGGAGGCAGCAGUGGGGAAUAUUGGGCAAUGGGCGAAAGCCUGAUCCAGCCAUACCGCGUGGGUGAAGAAGGCCUUCGGGUCGUAAAGCCCUUUUGUUGGGAAAGAAAAGCAGCAGGUGAAUACCCCGCUGUUCUGACGGUACCCAAAGAAUAAGCACCGGCUAACUUCGUG
rnacentral:rRNA from 1 species